CGCAAAUGAGCUGGAUUGAUUGAUUAAUUAAUUAAAAAGCGGCGGGGUGUUGGCGCCCCCUGGCGGGCGGGAGGACCGGCGGAGGCCACGCCCCCUCCGCUGCGUGCGCGCGCGGCGCGAUGACGUCACGCCAGCACAGCGUGAUGACGUCGUGGCCACGCCCCCUGGGGCAGCGCGCGCGCGCGGAGUCUCCCCCUCACGAUCCCCCCCCGCGUUUUUCGGUUUCCUUUUUCCGCCGCUUUUCCUUUUUUUCCUUCCGGGACGAAGCGGAAGCGGGGAAAAAAUAAAAAACAAACCCCGAAGGGCCCGGGAUGAGCGGCCGCAGCCGGCCGGGCCUGCGGCGUCCAUGACAGGCUGGGCGGGGGCCCCGGCGACGCGCGGGAGGUGAUGGCGCAUCGCUUCUUCUGCGGCAUCGACUGGGACGACGUGGUGCAGAGAAAGCUGGUGCCGCCCUUCCGGCCUCAGGUGACGUCCGAGGUGGACACCAGGUACUUUGACGAGGAGUUCACGGCCCAGAGCGUCACAGUGACCCCCCCUGAGAGCUGUGAGCACCUGGGCUCUCCGGAGUGCGACCACCGGACGCAUUUCCCGCAGUUCUCCUACUCGGCCAGCGUCCGGGAGUGACACACCUGGGGACACCUGGGGACACCUGGGGACACCUGGGGACAGCUGGGCACACCUGGACACACCUGGGGACACCUGGGCACACCUGGGGACACCUGUGCCCCUCCCCCCCCCACCUGUGCCCCCCAGGUGUUCUGGCCCCUCCCCCCCCAGGUGUUUUCUCCAUUUCCAGGAUUUCGGUGCCGAUUUUUGGACUUUUUGGGGGAAAAAAAAAAAAUUCCCAGCAGUGGCCUUGGACCCCCUGGAGCUCCCAGUCCAUCCCAGUUCCCUCCCAGUUUGUCCCAGUCCAUCCCAGUCCGUCCCAGUUUGUCCCAGUCCAUCCCAGUUCCCUCCCAGUCCAUCCCAGUUCCCUCCCAGUCCGUCCCAGUUUGUCCCAGUUCCCUCCCAGUCCAUCCCAGUCCAUCCCAGUUUGUCCCAGUUCGUCCCAGUCCAUCCCAGUUCCCUCCCAGUCCAUCCCAGUUCCCUCCCAGUCCAUCCCAGUUCUCUCCCAGUCCAUCCCAGUUUGUCCCAGUUCCCUCCCAGUCCAUCCCAGUCCAUCCCAGUUUGUCCCAGUCCAUCCCAGUUCCCUCCCAGUCCAUCCCAGUUCCCUCCCAGUCCAUCCCAGUUCCCUCCCAGUCCAUCCCAGUUCCCUCCCAGUCCAUCCCAGUUUGUCCCAGUCCAUCCCAGUUCCCUCCCAGUCCGUCCCAGUUUGUCCCAGUCCAUCCCAGUUCCCUCCCCGUCCAUCCCAGUUCCCUCCCAGUCCAUCCCAGACUCACCUGGGACCCCCCCUCCCCCACCCCUGGCACAGCUCCGGGCCCCUCCCCCACACCAGCGUUGCCUUUGGGGCCCCUCCCCCACCCCUCCAUUUUUAUUUUUGUUUUUUUCCCCCCCAGGAAUUUCCCAAAUCCGGUGGAAUUCAUGGAAAAAACGUGAAUUUUUUCAUGGUGGGGGAGGGGUGGGGGAGGGGAAGCCCCUCCCCCUGUGGGGGGAUGUUGAGCGGUACAAAAUAAAUAAAAUAAAUGAGAUUUUUUUUUUUGGUUCUCUUUUUGCCUUUUUUUGGGAAUUUGUGGGGAAAUUCACCAUUGGAUCCGCCCAAAGGUUUGACAGCCCCAAAAUGUCCCAAAAUGUCCCAAAAUGUCCCCAAAAAAUCCCUUCAAAACCUCUGGGGCACCCAGAAUUCCUCUGGGCGCCCGAAAAUCCCCCUAAAAUUCCCCCAGGGAACCCCAAAAUCCCGCUGGGGAUCCCCAAAGAACACCUGAGCAACCACCCUCCUGAUCGAUCACUAAUGCCUGCCAAUCAAUCACUCUGGGAUCGAUUAGUAGUGCCUGUCGAUCGAUCGCUCGGCAAUCGAUUGCUAAUGCCUGCCGAUCGACAAUUCGGCGAUCGACCGCUAAUGCCUGCCGAUCGAUGAUUCGGCAAUCGAUUGCUAAUGCCUGCCGAUCGAGUAAUCGGCGAUCGAUUGCUAAUGCCUGCCGAUCGAGUAAUCGGCGAUCGAUUGCUAAUGCCUGCCGAUCGAUUGUUCGGCGAUCGAUUGCUAAUGCCUGCCGAUCGAUUGCUCGGCGAUCGAUUGCUAAUGCCUGCCGGUCGAUGAUUCCGCGAUCGACUGCUAAUGCCUGUCGAUCGAUGAUUCAGAUAUCGACUGCUAAUGCCUGCCGAUCGAUUCAUCGGCACUCGACUGCUAAUGACUGCCGCUCGAUUGCUCGGCGCUCGAUCGCUAAUGCCUGCCGAUCGAUUGCUCGGCAAUUGACUGCUAAUGCCUGCCGAUCGAUUGCUCGGCGCUCGACUGGUGAUACCUGCCGAUCGAUGAUUCGGCACUCAACUGCUAAUGCCUGUCGAUCGAUGACUCGGCACUCGAUUGCUGAUGCCUGUCGAACGAUUGCUCGGCGAUCGACUGCUAAUGCCUGCCGAUCAAUUGCUCGGCAAUCGACUGCUAAUGCCUGCCAAUUGAUGGCUCGGCAAUCGACUGCUAAUGCCUGCCGAUCGAUUGCUCGGCAAUCGACUGCUAAUGCCUGCCGAUCGAUGAUUCGGCGCUUGACUGCUAAUGCCUGCCGAUCGAUGAUUCGGCGCUCUACUCGUGAUGCCUGGUGAUCGAUGACUCGGCACUCGAUUGCUAAUGCCUGUUGAUCGAUUGCUCGGCGCUCGACUGGUG
ensembl:lncRNA